rnacentral:tRNA from 3 species
GUGGGAAUAGCUCAGUUGGUAGAGCAUAACCUUGCCAAGGUUGGGGUCGCGAGUUCGAGUCUCGUUUCCCGCUCCA